rnacentral:antisense_RNA from 1 species
CUUCAGCGAGCCCAGCCACAGUGGGCGAUCGGCGCGUCGUCCCUGCCCGUAUGUCGCGAGCAGCGCCUCGGCUUC